AAAUUGAAGAGUUUGAUCAUGGCUCAGAUUGAACGCUGGCGGCAGGCCUAACACAUGCAAGUCGAACGGUAACAGAAAGCAGCUUGCUGCUUUGCUGACGAGUGGCGGACGGGUGAGUAAUGUCUGGGAAACUGCCUGAUGGAGGGGGAUAACUACUGGAAACGGUAGCUAAUACCGCAUAACGUCGCAAGACCAAAGAGGGGGACCUUCGGGCCUCUUGCCAUCGGAUGUGCCCAGAUGGGAUUAGCUUGUUGGUGGGGUAACGGCUCACCAAGGCGACGAUCUCUAG
rnacentral:rRNA from 1 species